AAACUUAUUCCAUGAGGGAGAUAGCCUGAUCAUGAAUGUGUUUUUUUCCAAGGUCAGUCUUAUCCAUUGUGUUCUAGGUGUGUUUAUUCCUGAAAUUUCCUCAAAAAUAGGAAUAUUGGCUUGCACCCUGUGUUGGUGAAUUGUGUGUUUGUGCUCUUCCCUG